GGCAGAGAGGAAGGCCCUCGGGGCGGAGCGCUGCAAUGAUGCCCGCCCAGCUCUGGAGCCGGCGAAGGUCUCUCGGGCGUGUGCAGAGCGCCGGGCGGGGUCGGUUGGCGUGGCUGGGACGGGGCGGCUUGCGCAACCGGGUCCGCCAGCUCCGCCCGGCCUGGAGACGCCCAGCCAGAGACCCAGAGGCGCCGCCGCCCGGGCUGUCAGCGAGAAAGCGCGGCGCAGGCGGCAGAAUUGNCUCCACAGUGUACCAGGACUAUGUAAGGCACAGCAUGCAAAACAGGAUGGAUUUUGCAGACUGCCGACUUUGAACAAGNAAGAGAGAAGCACUUGGCGCGCUGCUGUGGACUGGAUGAGCAUCUCCAAGGAGAGGAGAGUCCUUGAUUGUCUCCACUUGCAAAANAGGGUGAGACGGACAGCCUGGAAUUUCUUGCUCCUUCUGCUCCCCCUUCCCCGUGUCUGAGAAAGGCUCAGUGAUGAGGAAGAACCAAGAUCGGAUCCCAAUGGAAGGUCUCUCCCAUCUCUUCUUCUGCUGNCAUGACAGCAAGAAAUUGAUCACAAAGUACAGGGAGCGAGGACUUUAUUUUCCUUCUCCACAACAAUCCAGUUUUCCUCUUAUGACACGUAUAAGGAGCACGAACUGUCUUGACGUUCAUACUUUUGUGUGCCACUCUGGAAGCUUUUAACGUCAAUAAGCUGCACAGAAANAUUUUGAGCAAAUAAUGGUGGAGCCCUCCUGAUCUGUCUAGCCGGCCCAGGGCAGAGCUUUUGGUUCCAGCCCCACUGGCCGAUGAUAAAGAGGUUUUCCUUCGAUCCCAGUUUGCCAGGAGGAGGCCUAGGCUGAAAACGCCCCCUCUGCCUUCCUCGUGCCCCCAGAGCAGCCCAGAGUUCUCCCAGCAGAGCCCAGCCGCGAGGGAGCCGGGCGGUUCUGCCCCACUCCCAGGCUGGCUCCUGCCAGGGGGACACAGAAGGGGGAUGUCGCGCCACUGAGACCCGCCACGAUGACCGCUUGGAGCCGCUGGCGCGUCCACUCCAACCAACCAUGGCUGUAGACUGUUACCAACUCACAUCCACACAGUAACAAUCUAAAGCCACGGUUGCCUUGGAGACGCAGAAUGUACUGGCAUUGUGGCAAACGCCGUCGGGAGGUUUUCUUCGUCAUCCGCCUGGAACAGAACGCCGGCCGAGCAGUACUGCAAGGGCCCGUUUCCCCCUCCCGCCGUGCCCAGCCCCCUCCCCAGCUGCCCUGCCCCAGGCAUUAACCCCAGCGAAACCCUGUGGAAGACCCUCCCCCCUGGGCAAGAACUUCCC
rnacentral:lncRNA from 1 species